rnacentral:rRNA from 1 species
UUUCUCAGCGGCGGACGGGUGAGUAACACGUGGGCAACCUGCCCUACAGACUGGGAUAACUCCGGGAAACCGGAGCUAAUACCGGGUAAUACAUAGCAUCGCAUGAUGCAACGUUGAAAGUUGGCCUUUGGCUAACACUGUAGGAUGGGCCCGCGGCGCAAUAGCUAGUUGGUAAGGUAACGGCUUACCAAGGCCACGAUGCGUAGCCGACCUGAGAGGGUGAUCGGCCACACUGGGACUGAGACACGGCCCAGACUCCUACGGGAGGCAGCAGUAGGGAAUCUUCCGCAAUGGACGAAAGUCUGACGGAGCAACGCCGCGUGAGUGACGAAGGCCUUCGGGUCGUAAAGCUCUGUUGUUAGGGAAGAACAAGUACCGUUCGAAUAGGGCGGUACCUUGACGGUACCUAACCAGAAAGCCACGGCUAACUACGUGCCAGCAGCCGCGGUAAUACGUAGGUGGCAAGCGUUGUCCGGAAUUAUUGGGCGUAAAGCGCGCGCAGGCGGUCUCUUAAGUCUGAUGUGAAAGCCCACGGCUCAACCGUGGAGGGCCAUUGGAAACUGGGGGACUUGAGUGCAGAAGAGGAGAGUGGAAUUCCACGUGUAGCGGUGAAAUGCGUAGAUAUGUGGAGGAACACCAGUGGCGAAGGCGGCUCUCUGGUCUGUAACUGACGCUGAGGCGCGAAAGCGUGGGGAGCGAACAGGAUUAGAUACCCUGGUAGUCCACGCCGUAAACGAUGAGUGCUAGGUGUUGGGGGCUUCCACCCUCAGUGCUGAAGUUAACACAUUAAGCACUCCGCCUGGGGAGUACGACCGCAAGGUUGAAACUCAAAGGAAUUGACGGGGGCCCGCAC